GAAUUUUCCGCAAUGGGCGAAAGCCUGACGCAGCAACGCCGCGUGGAGGAUGAAGGUCUUCGGAUCGUAAACUCCUGUCAGCGGGGACGAAUGCCUCGCAAGAGGUUUGACUGUACCUGCUGAGGAAGCCACGGCUAACUCCGUGCCAGCAGCCGCGGUAAUACGGAGGUGGCAAGCGUUGUUCGGAAUUACUGGGCGUAAAGGGCGCGUAGGCGGCUUGGCAAGUCAGAUGUGAAAGCCCCGGGCUUAACUCGGGAAUUGCAUCUGAAACUGCUUUGCUUGAGUCCUGGAGGGGAUAGUGGAAUUCCCAGUGUAGCGGUGAAAUGCGUAGAUAUUGGGAGGAACGCCUGCGGCGAAGGCGGCUAUCUGGACAGUGACUGACGCUGAGGCGCGAAAGCUAGGGGAGCGAAUGGGAUUAGAUACCCCAGUAGUC
rnacentral:rRNA from 1 species